UAGAAGUUAUUUGCCUCCAAUACUUUGGUU
rnacentral:piRNA from 1 species